AUACGGAGGGUGCAAGCGUUAAUCGGAAUUACUGGGCGUAAAGGGCGCGCAGGCGGUUUGAUUAGUCAGAUGUGAAAGCCCACGGCUUAACCGUGGGAGUGCAUUUGAAACUGUCAGACUUGAGUACCAGAGGGGGUAGUGGAAUUCCCGGUGUAGAGGUGAAAUUCGUAGAUAUCGGGAGGAAUACCGGUGGCGAAGGCGACUACCUGGCUGGAUACUGACGCUGAGGCGCGAAAGCGUGGGGAGCAAACAGGAUUAGAAACCCGAGUAGUCC
rnacentral:rRNA from 1 species